GCGCAGGCGCAGGGCCAGGUCCUCUGGUUUGAAGCGACGCAGACCUGCGCAUUGCCUGGAACGUGCUGGGCCAGGAGGUUUGUCUCGGUAUUCAGAUGGAAGUUACGAUCCCAACUUCUGGUGAUGAAUGAAAUGUCUGAAGUCAGCAGGCAAGCGGUGAUACAGUUUAGCUUUGCACUGUACUAAUGGAAUUUGCGGGCAGCAUGGAACUGGGAGGUGUUUUGUGAAUCCGCUGAAGCCCUCCUGCAGGUGCUGGCUGACUUCAAGCAAAUUAAAGGGAAGUUCGGGACAUUUCCAGUCCCUUAAAAAGAUGGUGCUUCUGUUGAAAACAGGCGGGGGUCAGCAAGAUGCGGGUCCGUCCCGGUGUGCUGCAUCCUGCUUAGAGGCGGGUGACGGCCGGCGCCUGCGGAAGGGCGAGUUCAGCGGCUGGCAUCUCUCUCUGCUCUGACUGCGCUGACAAGCUGGAGCCUAAAUAGUAAAAUUCCCACAGCGGGCGAGACAGAGCUGAGAUCUGCUUAUACUCCUUUGGACUGUUUCUCACCUGU